GUGUCAGCCGCCGCGGUAAUACGAAGGGGGCUAGCGUUGCUCGGAAUCACUGGGCGUAAAGGGCGCGUAGGCGGCCGUUUAAGUCGGGGGUGAAAGCCUGUGGCUCAACCACAGAAUUGCCUUCGAUACUGGGCGGCUUGAGUCCGGAAGAGGUUGGUGGAACUGCGAGUGUAGAGGUGAAAUUCGUAGAUAUUCGCAAGAACACCGGUGGCGAAGGCGGCCAACUGGUCCGGCACUGACGCUGAGGCGCGAAAGCGUGGGGAGCAAACAGGAUUAGAUACCCUCGUAGUCC
rnacentral:rRNA from 1 species